GAAUGCUGAGGGUGAUCUAGCUAUGAUUUCUGUCACUCCAUUGACCACCAGAGUUGAUUCAGCUGAUCUGGCUGGCUAGGUGUCACCUUCCUCCUCACCACUCCAUGUGCGUCCAUCUCUCCCAAAGGCGCAUGCUAUGUCGAAGAGGAAAAGGAUGACUUUCCACAAAUAGAGACAGACCAGUCUUUGGUCUGGGGUAUAUGAGUAGCUGUGCUCCACAGCUAGAACCUCAAAAUAUGCUCUCAUCUAUUGUUUUGUUUGUUUGUUUGUUUGUUUACCAGAGCACUCUUUAGCUCUGGCUUAUGGUG
ensembl:misc_RNA 7SK 7SK RNA